rnacentral:rRNA from 1 species
GAUGAACGCUAGCGGCAGGCUUAACACAUGCAAGUCGAGGGGCAGCGGGGUAGCAAUACCGCCGGCGACCGGCAAACGGGUGCGGAACACGUACAGAAUCUACCCUUAUCUGGGGCAUAGCCCGGAGAAAUCCGGAUUAACUCCCCAUAAUAUGGAGGUGUGGCAUCACACUACCAUUAAAAAUUUAUUGGAUAAGGAUGACUGUGCGUCCCAUUAGCUAGUUGGUAGGGUAACGGCCUACCAAGGCGACGAUGGGUAGCUGGUGUGAGAGCACGACCAGCCACACGGGCACUGAGACACGGGCCCGACUCCUACGGGAGGCAGCAGUGAGGAAUAUUGGUCAAUGGACGCAAGUCUGAACCAGCCAUGCCGCGUGAAGGAUGAAGGCCUUCUGGGUUGUAAACUUCUUUUAUUGGGGAAGAAAAUUACGGUUUCUACUGUAACCGACGGUACCCAAGGAAUCAGCACCGGCUAACUCUGUGCCAGCCGCCGCGGUAAUAC